rnacentral:ncRNA from 1 species
UCAAAUGCAUGCGGGUGUUCACUUGUCUCUGUUGUAAUCAUGAGUCUCCUCGGAGCGUGAUAUGGGCAGGACAGUGAUCUGAGAUAUACCGUACGAACCUGAACAGAGUAAUUUCUGCGGAGGGACAUGCUUUCAUCCCCUUA